rnacentral:rRNA from 1 species
GAUGAACGCUAGCGAUAGGCUUAACACAUGCAAGUCGAGGGGCAGCACAAGGUAGCUUGCUAUCUGGGUGGCGACCGGCGCACGGGUGCGUAACGCGUAUGCAACUUGCCCUAUACAGGAGGAUAACCCGUCGAAAGACGGACUAAUACUGCGUAUGCUCACAACUUGGCAUCAAGUGGUGAGGAAAGAAAUUCGGUAUAGGAUAGGCAUGCGUCCCAUUAGCUUGUUGGUGAGGUAACGGCUCACCAAGGCAACGAUGGGUAGGGGAACUGAGAGGUUUAUCCCCCACACUGGUACUGAGACACGGACCAGACUCCUACGGGAGGCAGCAGUGAGGAAUAUUGGUCAAUGGGCGCGAGCCUGAACCAGCCAAGUCGCGUGAAGGAUGACUGUCUUAUGGAUUGUAAACUUCUUUUAGACGGGAAUAACAAGAGUCACGUGUGACUCCCUGCAUGUACCGUAUGAAUAAGCAACGGCUAACUCCGUG